rnacentral:rRNA from 1 species
GACGAACGCUGGCGGCGUGCCUAAUACAUGCAAGUCGAACGCAAGCAAACACACUGUUCUUGCACACCUUGUUUUCGUGAUUCGCGAACGGGUUAGUUACGCGUAGGUUACCUGCCUGUUAGCGACGGAUAACAAUUGGAAACGAUAGCUAAUACCGCAUAAUAUUAAUUAUGGCAUGAUAAUUUAUUUCAAGAUGUAAGCUCAUCACUAGUAGAUGUACCUGCGAUGUAUUAGCUAGUUGGUAAGGUAAGAGCUUACCAAGGGGACGAUACAUAGCCGACCUGAGAGGGUGAAAGGCCACACUGGGACUGUGACACGGCCCAGAAUCCUACGGGAGGGAGCAGUAGGGGAGUUUCGGCAAUGGACGAAAGUCUGACUGAGGAACGCCGGGUGAGUGAAGAAGGUUUUCGGAUCGUAAAGGUCAGUUGUACGUCAAGGACGUGUGUGAGAUUGGAAAGUUCACACAGUGACGGUAGCUUAAGAAGAAGCGACGGCUAACUACGUG